GAUAAUACUCACAUUGCUCUAUUUCAAAAGAAAAUCUAUUGAAGCAACCAAGAUUUAGAAGAUUGGACACUACAAGUCUUGAAGGAUGGGCUUUCAAGUUAGUUAAAGCUGAAGGACCAAGUCCAUAAAGUUUAGAAGCUAUCUACAAAUUCCAACAAUAGCAAAGUGCAUAAUUGAAAAGGUUCUGCAGCUGAAUCUAGGCAUGUACGUUCAUUCGUUUUACAAGUUUUUGAAAAUAACGAUUAGUCUGUGUAAGUACAAGUAUGGUGGAAGC